GGUUCGAUUCUGGCUCAGAUUGAACGCUGGCGGGAUGCCGCACACAUGCAAGCCGAACGGCAGCACGGACUUCGGUCUGGUGGCGAGUGGCGAACGGUGAGUAAUGUAUCGGAACGUGCCUAGUAGCGGGGGAUAACUACGCGAAAGGUGGUAGCUAAUACCGCACAGCUCCCUGGGGAAGCGGGACCUUCGGGCCUCGCACUAUUAGAGCGGCCGAUAUCGGAUUAGCUAGUUGGUGGGGUAACGGCUCACCAAGGCGACGAUCCGUAGCUGGUUUGGGAGGACGACCAGCCACACUGGGACUGAGACACGGCCCAGACUCCUACGGGAGGCAGCAGUGGGGAAUUUUUGACAAUGGGGAAACCCUGAUCCAGCCAUCCCGCGUGUGCGAUGAAGGCCUUCGGGUUGUAAAGCACUUUUGGCAGGAAAGAAACGGCACGGGAUAAUACCCCGUGCAACUGACGGUACCUGCAGAAUAAGCAAUCGGCUAACUACGUGCCAACAGCCGCGGUAAUACGUAGGGUGCAAGCGUUAAUCGGAAUUACUGGGCGUAAAGCGUGCGCAGGCGGUUCGGAAAGAAAGAUGUGAAAUCCCAGAGCUUAACUUUGGAACUGCAUUUUUAACUACCGAGCUAGAGGCAGAGGGAGGUGGAAUUCCGCGUGUAGCAGUGAAAUGCGUAGAUAUGCGGAGGGACACCGAUGGCGAAGGCAGCCUCUGGGAUAACACUGACGCUCAUGCACGAAAGCGUGGGGAGCAAACAGGAUUACAAUUCUGGUAGUCCACGCCCUAAACGAUGUCAACUAGCUGUUGGGGCCUUCGGGCCUUGGUAGCGCAGCUAACGCGUGAAGUUGACCGCCUGGGGAGUACGGUCGCAAGAUUAAAACUCAAAGGAAUUGACGGGGACCCGCACAAGCGGUGGAUGAUGUGGAUUAAUUCGAUGCAACGCGAAAAACCUUACCUACCCUUGACAUGUCUGGAAUCCCGAAGAGAUUUGGGAGUGCUCGUAAGAGAACCGAACAAAGGUGCUGCAUGGCUGUCGUCAGCUCGUGUCGUGAGAUGUUGGGUUGUCCCGCAACGAGCGCACCCCUUGUCAUUGCUACGAAAGGGCACUUUAAUGAGACUGCCGGUGACAAACCGGAGGAAGGUGGGGAUGACGUCAGUCCUCAUGGCCCUUAUGGGUAGGGCUUCACACGUCAUACAAUGGUCGGGACAGAGGGUCGCCAACCCGCGAGGGGAGCCAAUCCCAGAAACCCGAUCGUAGUCCGGAUCGCAGUCUGCAACUCGACUGCGUGAAGUCGGAAUCGCUAGUAAUCGCGGAUCAGCAUGUCGCGGUGAAUACGUUCUCGGGUCUUGUACACACCGCCCGUCACACCAUGGGAGUGGGUUUUACCAGAAGUAGUUAGCCUAACCGUAAGGAGGGCGAUUACCACGGUAGGAUUCAUGACUGGGUGAAGUCGUAACAAGGUAA
rnacentral:rRNA from 1 species